AGCCUCGUAGCCUAGCGGUCAGGCAGCACGGCAUUGAAUGGAAGCAAUGCGAGCGUGUCCCGUCCCACUUCCAUAAAGGGGCGGCUAGACAUCGGUUCGAAUCCGGUCGAGGCUA
rnacentral:tRNA from 1 species